rnacentral:piRNA from 1 species
UGGCAAAAGCACACCCCUGCUA